CUCGUAGGCGGCUUCGUAAGUCAGAGGUGAAAGACCACGGCUCAACCGUGGAACCGCCUUUGAAACUACGAAGCUUGAGGCCCGGAGAGGAAAGCGGAAUUCCUGGAGUAGCGGUGAAAUGCGUAGAUAUCAGGAGGAACACCAGUGGCGAAGGCGGCUUUCUGGACGGGUACUGACGCUGAGGAGCGAAAGCUAGGGGAGCAAACA
rnacentral:rRNA from 1 species